rnacentral:rRNA from 1 species
GACGAACGCUGGCGGCGUGCUUAACACAUGCAAGUCGAACGGAAAGGCCCUGCUUUUGUGGGGUGCUCGAGUGGCGAACGGGUGAGUAACACGUGAGUAACCUGCCCUUGACUUUGGGAUAACUUCAGGAAACUGGGGCUAAUACCGGAUAGGAGCUCCUGCUGCAUGGUGGGGGUUGGAAAGUUUCGGCGGUUGGGGAUGGACUCGCGGCUUAUCAGCUUGUUGGUGGGGUAGUGGCUUACCAAGGCUUUGACGGGUAGCCGGCCUGAGAGGGUGACCGGCCACAUUGGGACUGAGAUACGGCCCAGACUCCUACGGGAGGCAGCAGUGGGGAAUAUUGCACAAUGGGCGGAAGCCGGAUGCAGCAACGCCGCGUGCGGGAGGACGGCCUUCGGGUUGUAAACCGCUUUCGCCUGUGACGAAGCGUGAGUGACGGUAAUGGGUAAAGAAGCACCGGCUAAUUACGU